rnacentral:rRNA from 1 species
CCAGACUCCUACGGGAGGCAGCAGUGAGGAAUAUUGGUCAAUGGUCGGGAGACUGAACCAGCCAAGCCGCGUGAGGGAUGAAGGUACAGAGUAUCGUAAACCUCUUUUGUCAGGGAACAAAGGCGGGGACGUGUCCCCGGAUGAGUGUACCUGAAGAAAAAGCAUCGGCUAACUCCGUGCCAGCAGCCGCGGUAAUACGGAGGAUGCGAGCGUUAUCCGGAUUUAUUGGGUUUAAAGGGUGCGCAGGCGGGGUGUUAAGUCAGGGGUAAAAGCCGGGGGCCCACCCCCGGCCCGCCGUCGGAACUGGGUGCCUUGAGUGGGCGAGAAGUAUGCGGAAUGCGUGGUGUAGCGGUGAAAUGCAUAGAUAUCACGCAGAACCCCGAUUGCGAAGGCAGCAUACCGGCGCCCUACUGACGCUGAGGCACGGAAGUGCGGGUAUCGAACAGGAUUAGAUACCCCAGUAAC